CGACAUAUCCAAAUAAACAAAUUAGUUCAAUUACAAGAUCUUCAAAUGUUCAUCGUCAUCAAAGAAGCAUAAACAAACUAACUAGAUAAUGACUCUGAUACUUGCACUCUGCGCCCAUCCCAUCCAAAUCUAAGCAUCCUGCAACUCUGAUAAAAAAAAAGAAGAAAAGGAAAUGAGCUUUACAGCCCAGUAAGAAUCCCUACACAUCCACCAACACAAUAAUAAUAUAUCUGAAAACCACGACAAGUCGAUGCACAUAUCAUGAAGUCAUAAAUCGGCUAUCAAAGCUCAAAUAAUCAAUAUAAGUAUGUACAUCAAACAUCAAUAAAAGUCCAGCCACACAAGAAUGAUAUAGCAUAUGAUAGUUCAUAAAUCUGUAUUAUAGUUUCAAUGCCUUUUCUUCAACUUGAUCCAGAUUAAUUAUCUUUCCGACUUUGGGUCAAAUCUCGGUCACAUUUCUCAGACUGUGGUGGGGCAACCAAAUUAUCACAUUUUCAGCCUGUGGCAGGGCCUACACAUUAUAGUUCCACAUUUCUAGCCUGUGAUGGGGCCUGCCAAAGUAUCACAUUUUGAGCCUGUGGCGGGGCCUGCAUAUUAUAGUUCCACAUUUCNNNNNNNNNNNNNNNNNNNNCGGGGCCUGCAUAUUAUAGUUCCACAUUUCUAGCCUGUGACGGGGCCUGCCAAAGUAUCACAUUUUCAGCCUAUGGCGGGGCCUGCACAUUAUAGUUCCACAUUUCUAGCCUAUGAGGGGGCCUACCAAAGUACCACAUUUUUAGCCUGUGACGGGGCUUGCCAUAAUAACAAGAUAAACCCAAAGUCCCUUUUCAUACAAUCCAGUUUACAUCCACACAUCAAUUUCUUUUUAUUUAUUUCCGGCUUUAAACUAACCACGGUUACGUUUCCAGCCCGUGACGGGGCAACCAAUAUCACAUGGUUAGUUUAGAGCACCAUAUCCAUCAGUCCAAUUAUGUAGGUGUAGGUUAUGCGCAUGCAUGCAUCCAUCAUGAUACCAACCACAAGCGAAUACGAUCAUAAUAUCAACCACAAGCCAACACGAUCAAAAUAUAAUUUAAUAAAAACUAUUUUUGAUUUGUCUGGAUCAUAGCAUAUCAUAUAUAUCUAAGUAUAAAAAUAUUAUAUCAUGCAGGAUUGGUGUACAAGGAUCCUUACCCUUUAUUGAAAACUCAGACAACUAAUCACCCGCUCUCACGGCGAUCUAUGAACCGGAAUACGCAGGACUCUGCUCAGCGUCCUCUCGUCCAAUAGAUUGUUCCCCUACAGAAUCAAAUCAAUAUUAAAAGUUACCCAAGAUAUCUGACAACCCAAAGCUCUCUAUGGAUCCUCUCAAGGGUCUACAAGUAUCUAGUACCCAAGACUAACCAACAAUCUAUGAUCUCCCUGAAUUAAACUAGAGAGAAAACAGACUAAUAAGAGACAGCAACUAGAGGGAGAAAAUAAAAUAACAAAGAAGAGAGAGAGUCGACUCUCUCUCUCUCUCUCCCUCUCUUCAUUCUUCUUCCCGUAAAUAAAACAACAAAGAAGAGAGAGAGUUGGCUCUCUCUCUCUCUUCCUUCCUCCUUCCCAACGGAAAGGAGGAGAGUGCUUGGCAGCCGGCGGCCCAUGGCCGGCGACGCCCCAUGGUGGUGCCACGCCCGGCGACGGCCGGCCGGAACGGAAGGGAAGAAGGCCGAACAGAGGCUCGGCUUUCCCCAUCAGCCCGGCGGCUUCUCGGCCACAUCCUCAAGGAAAUAAUAGCCAAAGACGAAGGAGAAGGAGGCGAGGGUGCUCACCUUGCCUCCGGCGAGCCUUUCCGGCUGGUCCAAUGGCGGGCAACCCGAGCUUCUCCCACGGAUCGCCUAGAACUCCAAAUCCCUCUUUUCUCCCAUUUUUUUUUUUUUGUGGAAGGACUCUCGGUUGAUGCCCUCAGGAAGAGGGGAAGAGAUUCUUUUUAUAGAUGUAAAUUGAUUCAAAUAAGGUAGGAUUUGAUCCCGUCUCCCUCUCCUUUUUUUUUCUUUGUUUCCUCUUCCGGUGGAUUCAUGGGAGCAAG
rnacentral:lncRNA from 1 species